UUUCUUCUAUCACUUUUUCUUCCCAAAUCCUAUAUCAAGUCCGGGUAUGCCAAUAAUGGAGAUAACAUCUAACUUCUGCUGACAACUAUUAAAUUCUUCGUACUCUGAAUAAAACCAAAAAGUCUUCUUCCUGUGAACCUAUACUGGCCUUUCUUUUUCAACUCAUUUCCGUAAUCAUACCCCAAAAUAAUAUAAAGUAUUUAUCAAUUAUUAUUCCUAAUUUUGCUGUUAAUAAUGAUUUCGAUAGUUGUAAUCUUGAUGUUUU
rnacentral:lncRNA from 1 species